GAUGAACGCUGGCGGCGUGCCUAAUACAUGCAAGUCGAGCGAACAGACGAGGAGCUUGCUCCUUCGACGUUAGCGGCGGACGGGUGAGUAACACGUAGGUAACCCACCUAUAAGACUGGGAUAACUUCGGGAAACCGGAGCUAAUACCGGAUAAUAUUUCGAACCGCAUGGUUCGAUAGUGAAAGAUGGCUUUGCUAUCACUUAUAGAUGGACCUGCGCCGUAUUAGCUAGUUGGUAAGGUAACGGCUUACCAAGGCAACGAUACGUAGCCGACCUGAGAGGGUGAUCGGCCACACUGGAACUGAGACACGGUCCAGACUCCUACGGGAGGCAGCAGUAGGGAAUCUUCCGCAAUGGGCGAAAGCCUGACGGAGCAACGCCGCGUGAGUGAUGAAGGUCUUCGGAUCGUAAAACUCUGUUAUUAGGGAAGAACAAACGUGUAAGUAACUGUGCACGUCUUGACGGUACCUAAUCAGAAAGCCACGGCUAACUACGUG
rnacentral:rRNA from 1 species